rnacentral:pre_miRNA from 1 species
AUAAUACUCCCUCCGUCCGGAAUUACUUGUCAUCAAAAUGGAUGUGUCUAGAACUAAAAUGCAUCUAGAUACAUCCAUUUCAAUGACAAGUAUUUUCGGACGGAGGGAGUAGUAG